CUAGGAAUCUUGGGAAUGGGCGAAAGCCUGACCCAGCAACGCCGCGUGGGGGAUGAAGGCCUUCGGGUCGUAAACCCCUUUUGUGAGGGACGAUGAUGACGGUACCUCACGAAUAAGCCACGGCUAACUACGUGCCAGCAGCCGCGGUAAUACGUAGGUGGCAAGCGUUGUCCGGAUUUACUGGGCGUAAAGGGCGUGCAGGCGGUCUGUUAAGUCUAGGGUGAAAGCUCCCGGCUCAACUGGGAGAGGUCCUUGGAUACUGGCGGACUUGAGGGAUGCAGAGGAAAGUGGAAUUCCCGGUGUAGUGGUGAUAUGCGUAGAUAUCGGGAGGAACACCAGUGGCGAAGGCGGCUUUCUGGGCAUUACCUGACGCUGAGACGCGAAAGCGUGGGGAGCGAACCGGAUUAGAUACCCGGGUAGUCCACGCUGUAAACGAUGGACACUAGGUGUAGGGGGUAUCGACCCCCUCUGUGCCGCAGCUAACGCAAUAAGUGUCCCGCCU
rnacentral:rRNA from 1 species